AUUGAACGCUGGCGGCAUGCCUUACACAUGCAAGUCGAACGGUAACAGGUUAAGCUGACGAGUGGCGAACGGGUGAGUAAUAUAUCGGAACGUGCCCAAUCGUGGGGGAUAACGCAGCGAAAGUUGUGCUAAUACCGCAUAAGAUCUACGGAUGAAAGCGGGGGAUCGCAAGACCUCGCGCGAGUGGAGCGGCCGAUAUCAGAUUAGCUAGUUGGUGGGGUAAAGGCCCACCAAGGCGACGAUCUGUAGCUGGUCUGAGAGGACGACCAGCCACACUGGGACUGGGACACGGCGCAGACUCCUACGGGAGGCAGCAGUGGGGAAUUUUGGACAAUGGGCGCAAGCAUGAUCCAGCAAUGCCGCGUGCAGGAUGAAGGCCUUCGGGUUGUAAACUGCUUUUGUACGGAGCGAAAAAGCUCUCUCUAAUACAGAGGGCUCAUGACGGUACCGUAAGAAUAAGCACCGGCUAACUACGUGCCAGCCGCCGCCGUAA
rnacentral:rRNA from 1 species